AGCAACCAGAGAUGAUCCCUGCAACAUGCUGCUGUUGCUGGGAGUGGGAAAGAGGUGGCAUCGGCGGUUCAAGACUGAGUUUUCUAUCUCUUCAGUGCCUCUUUCAACAAUGAAGAUCAAACCAGGUUUUGUGCAAAUAUCUGCUGAGUGAACUACUUAUUUGAAAAUACAUCAUUGGUUAAUAUUCCCUUUUGCUCAUUGAAAUCUCAAAGACUACAGACCCCGCACAAGACAUUCUGACAUUCCCGUCUUUGAAAUGAAUGACAGCAAUGAUAAAUAUGGCUCACCUCCAGAGAUACAGAUCUCACAACUUCAUAUUUUUAAUAUAAAUUAUUAAUCUGAGAAGCAGAGAGAGAUAAGACCCAUGAUAAUCAAGCCAUAAACAGAUGCAUUUACUAGCUGAAUGGCCAACAAUGGAAUUCAACAAAUCCAUCUUGAGCACGGCAGCCAGGAACAAACUACAAUAAAGCCAUGCCCUGACUGGAUGUGCCUAACAUUUGUCUGGUGCUUAAAGGAGUUGGCUGCAUGCGUGGGAUGGAGAAGGAUUCAACAUUUAAUGGCAGUUAGAAUCAAAUUUUUAACUCAAGAAGGCAGAAGGAAUCCACCUAAAUAAAUGUUGGAAAGUCACCAAAAAUAGUUCUCCAAGUCAGAAGCGGUGCAAAAGCUGCCUCAGCUCUUGGUGGAUUUUCAAUUUCUCCCAGCCAUCUCUGUUUCGCUAAAGGUUUCUGAAGACAGUGGAUAAUGAAGAUAUUAUACCAUUAUAUGCUCUUGAAUCUGUCUCAUUGUGACUUGGCGAAGAGGCAGUGAAUCUGCCAAAAAGAAGUAGAGCAGCUGUGAAGAUGCCAACACAAUUGAGUACUCUUUCUCUACAUAUUUCUAAAUAUGGCAAUUUAUUGGACACUUAUGAGCAUGGAAUGACAAUGGGGUCAAUUUAACCAUACGGCAAUGCUGAGACACCUUCAUUAUGACCUUUCCCUGGUAUAAGUUAUGUGAUAAUGAAUGCAUGUUUAGUCACACACUGUAGGUACAGAUGGGAAAAAAGAAAGCAUAAAAUAUAAAACAUGAUGUCCAGGUUUCAAAUAAGAAUUCUAAAAUGUUAUUUAAUUAAUGAAAUGAAAAUACUUUACUUUAGAAAAAGAAUAUUGAAUCUCUUUGAUGUAUAAAAUGUAUAUUUCAAAUUAAAAAUUCAAAAGAAACAAA
rnacentral:lncRNA from 1 species